rnacentral:rRNA from 1 species
UACGGAGGGAGCUAGCGUUAUUCGGAAUUACUGGGCGUAAAGCGCACGUAGGCGGCUUUGUAAGUAAGAGGUGAAAGCCCAGAGCUCAACUCUGGAAUUGCCUUUGAUACUGGAGAGCUAGAGUCCGGAAGAGGUGAGUGGAACUGCGAGUGUAGAGGUGAAAUUCGUAGAUAUUCGCAAGAACACCAGUGGCGAAGGCGGCUCACUGGUCCGGUACUGACGCUGAGGUGGCGAAAAGCGU